GUCUAUAAGGAUAUAAUAUAUAGUCUGGCCUGCUCACUGAAUCUAAAAUUUUAAGAGCCGCAGUAUUUUGACUGUGCAAAGGUAGCGUAAUCAUUAGUUUCUUAAUUAGGAACUCGUAUGAAUGGUUAAACAAAAAAACUACUGUCUCUUUCUUAAUUGUUGAAUUUAACUUUUAAGUGAAAAGGCUUAAAUUUUUUAAAGGGACGAUAAGACCCUAUAAAGUUUAUAUAAAAAAAUAGGGUUUAAAAAAAUUAAACUUAUAAAUAUAAAAACUAUUUUUAUAUUUUGUUGGGGCGACACAGAUAUAAUUUUAUUUAACUGUUAUAACAAGAGACACGUAUAAGUGAGUGUAAUAAUGAUCCUAUAAAUAUAGAUUAAAAGACUAAGUUACUUUAGGGAUAACAGCAUAAUUUUUCUUAAGAGACCUUAUCGAAAGAAAAGAUUGUGACCUCGAUGUUGAAUUAAAAGUCUUUGCAAAGCAGCAUUUGCAGGAAGAAGGUCUGUUCGACCUUUAAAGUUUUACAUGAUUUGAGUUCAAACCGGUGUAAGCCAGGUU
rnacentral:rRNA from 1 species